rnacentral:rRNA from 1 species
AACGAACGCUGGCGGCAUGCCUAACACAUGCAAGUCGAACGAGACCUUCGGGUCUAGUGGCGCACGGGUGCGUAACGCGUGGGAACCUGCCCUAGGUUCGGAAUAACUCCCCGAAAGGGGUGCUAAUACCGGAUAAUGUCUUCGGACCAAAGAUUUAUCGCCUUUGGAUGGGCCCGCGUUGGAUUAGCUAGUUGGUAGGGUAAAAGCCUACCAAGGCGACGAUCCAUAGCUGGUCUGAGAGGAUGAUCAGCCACACUGGGACUGAGACACGGCCCAGACUCCUACGGGAGGCAGCAGUGGGGAAUAUUGGACAAUGGGCGAAAGCCUGAUCCAGCAAUGCCGCGUGAGUGAUGAAGGCCUUAGGGUUGUAAAGCUCUUUUACCCGGGAUGAUAAUGACAGUACCGGGAGAAUAAGCUCCGGCUAACUCCGU